GAUCCAUUCAUGGUCUCCAGGAAUGGAGUCUGCUACAUUAGAUGUGGCUGACUCUGAUGUUCAUGCGUGUAUCCUCUGAGCCUAUGUUUUUCUUAUACACUACAAUUGCAUGUCUCAGAAUGUAUUAUCACAGGCCUUUGUGCCUAUAAACAAUAUACAACUUUCAGCAACGGAUCUCUUGGCUCUCGCAUCGAUGAAGAACGCAGCGAAAUGCGAUAAGUAAUGUGAAUUGCAGAAUUCAGUGAAUCAUCGAAUCUUUGAACGCACCUUGCGCUCUUUGGUAUUCCAAAGAGCAUGCCUGUUUGAGUGUCAUUUAAUUCUCAACCCCACCAGUUUUUUUUUUAUGACUGGUUUGGUGGCUUGGAUGUGGGGGCAUAUUGCGGGCCUUAUCUUCUUCACAUGUUGAUUGAGGUCAGCUCCCCUGAAAUGCAUUAGCAGAAUGGUUUUGCAGUUUUCCAUUGCUGGUGUAAUAACUAUCUACGCCAACAUAAAGGCGGGACUGCUCUCUGGUAAUUCAGCUUCUAAACUGUCCCCUUUCAUGGAACAAACUGCAUACCUGGAUUCUUGACC
rnacentral:rRNA from 1 species